UUCUUUUAUAUUGGAGCCUAAAACAAGAUGGCUGCCACAGGAAAUGCUUCUAACAAGAUGGCUGCUACCCCAGUAGUCUGCCUUUUUCAGUCGCCUGUUGUCUGUUAUAUCUGAGGACUGACCACGCCCCAAUGCCACAGGCAUCUUUUGUGCACCAUGUAGAGCUACGCUGUCUUACAAUCUCUUAUCCAGGAAUUUACCUGCUGCUUCUGAUUUCCUCAACACACACACAAAUAAAAAAGAUGAAGACGAGGUGAAGAUCAAAUCAGAUGAGGAGAAAACUCACAGUGGGAGGAAGAACACUUUAACACACACACACACACACACUACAUACCUCCUACCACAUCAGACUCAGGAUGUAACACACUACUGGUCACACUGCACAUUUACACACUUCCUGAUACGUUGCACAUUCCGUUGGUUCCUGUUUAAACACUGCCCAUGUGUUACACUAACGAGGAAUAACUGCAGUUUGUAAUUCCUUCUGAAUAGUCUGUAAUUUAUCCUGAAUCAUUUCUACACUUUAACACCUCAUACACUUCUACUGUAAAUAUGUUCUGUUUAGCAUCCUUAUAAAUAUAAUAC